CUAGCCGUAAACGAUGGAUACUAGGCGUUGUGAGUAUCGACCCUCACAGUGUCGUAGCUAACGCGUUAAGUAUCCCGCCUGGGGAGUACGCGCGCAAGCGUGAAACUCAAAGGAAUUGACGGGGGCCCGCACAAGCGGUGGAGUAUGUGGUUUAAUUCGAUGCAACGCGAAGAGCCUUACCAGGACUUGACAUGUCGCGAAUCUCAGGGAAACUUGAGAGUGCCUUCGGGAGCGCGAACACAGGUGGUGC
rnacentral:rRNA from 1 species